rnacentral:rRNA from 1 species
GAUACACGAAAAACCUUACCAGGUCUUGACAUACUCUGCACAGCUAUAGAAAUAUAGUGGAGGUUAUCAGGGAUACAGGUGGUGCAUGGUUGUCGUCAGCUCGUGUCGUGAGAUGUUAGGUUAAGUUCUAAAACGAGCGCAACCCCUGUCGUUAAUUGCCAGCACGUUAUGGUGGGGACUUUAGCGAGACUGCCAAUGAAAAAUUGGAGGAAGGUGGGGAUUACGUCAAAUCAUCAUGCCCCUUAUGAUCUGGGCUACAAACGUGAUACAAUGGCUAUUACAAAGAGUAGCUGAAACGCGAGUUUUCGGCAAAUCUCAAAAAAAUAGUCUCAGUUCGGAUUGAAGUCUGCAACUCGACUUCAUGAAGUUGGAAUCGCUAGUAAUCGCGAAUCAGCAUGUCGCGGUGAAUACGUUCUCGGGGUUUGUACACACCGCCCGUCAAACCACGAAAGUGGACAAUACCCGAAAGCGACAGCCUAACUGCGUAAGCAGAGGGAAUCGUCUAAGGUAGGGUCGAUGAUUGGGGUUAAGUCGUAACAAGGUAUCCCUACCGGAAGGUGGUGAUGGAUCACCUCCUUUCUAAGGAAAUUUUUUAAAAUCAUCAUCUUCAGUUUUGAAAGACUUAAGUUAAUUUAAAAAAAUAAGUUUUUCGUUUUUUUCAUUAGUUAAUUCUUUUAAUAUAAUAUUCUUUAAGAUUUUAAGGGCCUAUAGCUCAGCUGGUUAGAGCACACGCCUGAUAAGCGUGAGGUCGGUGGUUCAAGUCCAUUUAGGCCUACCAGUCUAAAUGUACUGAAAAUCAAAAAAGUUCUUGAAAAGUAGAUAAACAACG